rnacentral:rRNA from 1 species
UACAGAGGGUGCGAGCGUUGUCCGGAAUCACUGGGCGUAAAGGGCGCGUAGGCGGCUUGAUAAGCGUGCGGUGAAAGCCCGGGGCUCAACCCCGGGUCGGCCGUGCGAACUGUCGAGCUGGAGCACUGUAGAGGCAGGUGGAAUUCCGGGUGUAGCGGUGGAAUGCGUAGAGAUCCGGAAGAACACCGGUGGCGAAGGCGGCCUGCUGAGCAGUGGCUGACGCUGAGGCGCGACAGCGUGGGGGAGCAAACAGG